AUUGAACGCUGGCGGCAUGCCUUACACAUGCAAGUCGAACGGUAACGGGUCCUUCGGGAUGCCGACGAGUGGCGAACGGGUGAGUAAUAUAUCGGAACGUGCCCAGUAGUGGGGGAUAACUGCUCGAGAGAGCAGCUAAUACCGCAUACGACCUGAGGGUGAAAGGGGGGGAUCGCAAGACCUCUCGCUAUUGGAGCGGCCGAUAUCAGAUUAGCUAGUUGGUGGGGUAAAGGCCUACCAAGGCAACGAUCUGUAGUUGGUCUGAGAGGACGACCAGCCACACUGGGACUGAGACACGGCGCAGACUCCUACGGGAGGCAGCAGUGGGGAAUUGUGGACAAUGGGCGCAAGCCUGAUCCAGCAAUGCCGCGUGCAGGAAGAAGGCCUUCGGGUUGUAAACUGCUUUUGUCAGGGAAGAAAUCUUCUGGGCUAAUACCCCGGGAGGAUGACGGUACCUGAAGAAUAAGCACCGGCUAACUACGUGCCAGCCGCCGCCGUAA
rnacentral:rRNA from 1 species